UAUAUAUAUAUAUAUAUAUAUAUAUAUAUAUAUAUAUAAAACAGAAUAUAUUUAAAAAGAGUUAGCAUAAGAUGUAACAGUGGUGUAGGUGCAACUAAGGUAGGUAGACCAGAAUUAUGACCUGGGCUCAUUGUGCAGUCAUAGCUGAAUCUUUCUUGCUACAUGUGGUCAUACUCCCAUGAAAAGCCAGAAAAGCCUCAUUCCAGGCACAUUUUGACAAAAACCUAAGAAAUAUCUCAGUGUAUUCACACCACAGAGAGCUCCCAAAUAUCAGGUCUAGAAAGCUGAUGUACUUGUCUGAAUGAUUUCUGUUGGAACAGUCAAAGAAGGGCACUUCUGACUCAAUAAAUCAUGAUUCACAAAAUGAUUCAGUUGCUCCUUACCUACACUGAGUCAGUGUUCUAGUAAGUUUGUAAGCUUUCCCCACACAGUCUAUUUUUGAUAUCUCUGUGGUACAUGGCCUGUGGAUAGAAAAUUAUUAGGACCUACCACCUUUGUGCAUUUGUCUUUAGUAAGAGGGUCAUCAUCAUAAAAAAAAAAAAAAAGCUUUGCUAUGUUGUCCAAAAAGAAGCCUUCAGAUGCUUUCCCCUCUUCCUGACACCACCAUCUACCAGGCUAAUGUCAUUACCAAUUCUAAAAGUAACAAAACCAAAUGGGUUUUUCACAAUUCAUUUAGUCUUGUGACCAUAUCCCACAAAUAUUCUACUUUCUGUAAACUUCUUUAGUGUCACUGAGCUGGUGCAUCACAGGAGAAUGAAUUAUGCUGAGAUUUUCCUCAUCUGGGAAUUUUGGCUCUCCUGCCAACUUAAUCCAUCAGUGGAAGCCAGCAAAGUAGACUUAAGGAAAAACUCAACAUCCCAAGAAGGAAGACUUUGAGCAUAGUGUAAAAUCAGUGGAAGCUUCCACUCUGGCUUUAAACACCUACUGCAGGACUUCUAAACUACUGGGGGUGCCCACUGUUCAAGGUACUGGCCAUGCCAUUCCAUGCUCUCUGCCACUAUCCCCACUAUUGGGGCUGGAUAUACCUGGAGGAUAUUCAUAAAUAGUCGUUUAACCUUAAAAAAAAAAAAAA